UUGUAGCCUGCUGGUGAUUUUGGGGUCUCCGGCAGGUGGUUCCAGCGAGUCGAGCAGGAGGUUUCGGCGAGCUCGGCAGUUGUUUCCAGAAUCUCCAGCAUGUGUUUCUUGCACAUCUGAGAGGUGGUUCCGGCAUGCCCGCCAGGUGAUUCGGGAUUGUCCACCAAGUGGUUCUGGCAUAGCCGGCAGGUGAUUUUGGCAUGUCCGGUAGAUGGUUCUGUGGAGUGGAUCAGGUGGUUCCUGUGUGCUCGACAGGUGGUUCAGGCGGGUCCAGCAGGUCGUUCAGGUCUGUCUGGCAUGUGGUUCCGGUGUCUCAGGCACAUGGUUCUGGCACGUCUGAGAGGUGGUUCCUCAUGCCCGGCAGGUGAUUCCGGAGUGUCCGAAAAGUGGUUCUGGAGUAUCUGGCAGGUAAUUUUGGCGUGUCCGGCAGGUGGUUCUGGGGAGUGUGUCAGGUGGUUCUGCCAUACUUGGCAGGUGGUCCCAGCUUGUCCGGCAUAUGGUUGUGGCAUGUCUGAGUGGUGGUUCCGGAAUGCCCGGCAGGUGAUCCCGGAGAGUCCUCCAAGUGGCUCUGGAGUAGCCGACAGGUGACUUGGGCGUGUCUGGCACGUGAUUCAGGCGAGGUGAGCAUGUGGUUCUGGCGUGCUCGGCAGGUGGUUCAGUCAGGUCUGCCAGGUGGUUCCGGUCUGUCCAGGAGGUGAUUCCGGAGUGUCCAACAAGUGGUUCUGGCGUAGCCAGCUGGUGAUUUUGGGGUGUCUGUCAGGCGUUUCCGGCGAGUCGAGCAGGUGGUUCUGUUGUGCUCGGCAGGAGCUUCCGGUGUCUCCGGCACGUGUUUCUGGCACAUCUGAGAGGUGGUUCUGACAUGCCCGGCAGGUGAUUCCGGAGUGUCCGACAAGUGGUUCUGGCAUUGCCGGCUGGUGAUUUUGGCGUGGCCGGCAGGUAGUUCCGGCGAGUCGAGCAGGUGGUUCCGGCAUGCUAGGCAGGUGGUUCUGGCGGGCCUGGCAGGUGGUUACGGUCUGUAUGGGAGGUGGUUCCGGCGUGUCCGGCACAUGGUUCCGGCACGCCUGAGAUUUGGUUGUGGCAUGCCCAGCAGGUGAUUCCGGAGUGUCCGACAAGUGGUUCUGGCAUAGCCGGCUGGUGGUUUUGGCAUGUCCGGCAGGUGGUUCCGGCUAGUUGAGGAGGUGGCUACGGCAUGCUCGGCCGGUUGGUUCCAGUGUGUCCUGCAGGUGGUUCCCUUCUGUCCGGUAGGUGGUUCCGGCGUGUCGGGCACGUGGUUCUGGCACGUCUGAGAGGUGGUUCCGGCAUGCCCGACAGGUGAUUCCAGAGUGUCCGCCACAUGGUUCUGGCGUAGCCGGCAGGUGAUUUUGGCGUGUCCGGCAGGUGGUUCCGGCGACUCAAGCAGGUGGUUCCAGCGAGCUCGGCAGGUGCUUCCGGCGUCUACGGCACGUGGUUCUGGCACAUCUAGAGGUGGUUCCGGAAUGCCCGGCAUGUGAUUCCGGAGUGUCCGACAAGUGGUUCUGGCACAGCCGUCAGGUGAUUUUGGCGUGUCCGGCAGGUGGUUCCGGCGAGUCGAGCAGGUGGUUCCUGCGUGCCGGCAGGUGGUUCAGGAGGGUCCGGCAUCUGGUUUAAGUCUGUCCGGGAUUUGGUUUCAGUGUCUGAGGCACAUGGUUCUGGCACGUCUGAGAGGUGGUUCCGGUUGCCCGGCAGGUGAUCGCGGAGAGUCCGACAAGUGGUUCUGGCAUAGCUGGCUGGUGAUUUUGGCGUGUCCAGUAGGUGGUUCUGGACGGUCAAGCAGGUGGCUCCAGCGUGCUCAGCAGGUGUUUCCAGGGUGUCUGGCAGGUGCUUCCAGCCUGUCCGGGAGGUGGUUGGCGUGUCUGGCACAUGGUUCUCGCAUGUCUGAGAGGUUGCGCCGGCAUGCCCAGCACGUGAUUCCGGCUUGUCCACCAAGUGGUUCUGGCAUAGGCGGCCGGUGAUAUUGGCGUGUCUGGCAGGUGGUUCUGGCGUGUCCGACAUGUGCUUCUGGCACGUCUGAGAGGUGGUUCUGGCAUGCCCGGCAGGUGAUUCCAGAGUGUCCGACAAGUGGUUCUGGCAUAGCCGGCUUGUGACUUUGACGUGUGUGGCAGGUGGUUCCGGCGAAUAGAGCAGGUCGUUCCGGAAUGCUUGGCACAUUGUUCAGGCGUGUCCGGCAGGUGGUUCCAGUCAGUCCGGGAGGUUGUUCUGGUGUGUCCGGCACGUGUUUCAGGCACGUCUGAGAGCUGGUUCUGGCAAUCCCGUCAGGUGAUUCUGGAGUGUCUGCGACGUGGUUCUGGCAUAGCUGGCAUGUGAUUUUGGCAGGUCCGGCAGGUGGUUCCGGCGGGUUGAGCAGGUGGUUCCGGCGUGCUCGGCAGGUGGUUCAGGCAUGUCUGGCAGGUGGUUUUGGUCUGUCCAGGAGGUGGUUCCAGCAUGUCAGGCAUGUGGUUCUGGCACGUCUGAUAUGUGUUCCAGCAUGCCCGGAAAGUGAUUCAGGAGUGUCAGCCAUGUGGUUCUGGCAUAGCCAGAAGGUGAUUUUGGCGUGUCCGGCAGGUGGUUCCGGUGAGUCGAGCAGGUGGUUCUGGCGUGCUUGGCACGUGGUUCAGGCGUGUCUGGCAGGUGGUUCCACAAUGACCAGGAUGUGGUUCUCGCACCUCUGAGAGUUGGUUCUGGGUUGCCCGGCAGGUGAUUACGGAGUGUCCCUCAAGUGGUUCUGGCAUAGUCGGCAGGUGAUUUUUGGGUGUCCAGCAUGUGGUCCGGGCGACUCGAGCCUGUGAUUCCGGCGUGCUCGGCAGGUGGUUCAGGCAUGUCUGGCAGUCGUUCCGGCUAGUCGAGCAGGUGGUUCCGGCGAGCUUGGCAGUUGCUUCCGGUGUCUCCGGCACAUGGUUCUGGCACGUUUGAGAGGUGGUUCCGGCAUGCCCGGCAGGUGAUCCCAAGUGUCCGGCAAGUGGUUCUGGUGUAGCCAACAGGUGAUUUUGGUGUGUCCGGCAGGUGGGUCUGGCGAGUCAAGCAGGUGGUUCCGGCGAGUCUGGCAGGUGGUUCCGGUCUGUCCAGGAAGUCGUUCCGGUGUGUCUGGCACGUGCUUCUGGCACGUGUGAAAGGUUGUGUUAGCCUGGCCUGCAGGUGAUUCAGGAUUGUCCACCAAGUGGUUCUGGCGUAGCCGGCAGGUGAUUUUGGCAUUCUGGCAGGUGGUUGCGGCGAUCGAGCAGGUGGUUUCGGCGAGCUCGGCAGGUGCUUCUGGCGUCUCUGGCAUGUGGUUCUGGCACAUCUGAGAGGUGGUUCCGGCAUGACCGGCAGGUGAUUCCGGAGUGUUUGGCAAGCGUUUCUGGCAUAGCUGGCAGGUGAUUUUGGCGUGUCCGGCAGGUGGUUCUGGGG
ensembl:lncRNA